AUGGUCUGUUACAAUAUAAUGACCUGCUCUGGUUCCUUUUAUUAUUGUUUAUUCCCUUCUCUUGUUGUUUAUUCCCUUAUCUUGUUGUUNNNNNNNNNNAGGGUUAAGGUUAGCAGUUUGGUUAAGGUUAGGGUUAAGGUUAGCAGUGUGGUUAAGGUUAGGGUUAAGGUUGGCAGUGUGGUUAAGGUUAGGCAUAAGGUUAGCUGUGUGGUUAAGGUUAGGGUUAAGGUUGGCAGUAUGGUUAAGGUUAGGGUUAAGGUUAGCAGUGUGGUUAAGGUUAGGGUUAAGGUUAGCAGUAUGGUUAAGGUUAGGGUUAAGGUUAGCAGUGUGGUUAAGGUUAGGGUUAAGGUUAGCAGUAUGGUUAAGGUUAGGGUUAAGGUUAGCAGUGUGGUUAAGGUUAGGGUUAAGGUUAAGGUUAUUUUAACAGGAGGAAUUGUAGAAUUGGGCAGGGUUUAGCCAUGAUCAUGACUGUUGGUGUGUUAACUAGUGAUGAGUCUUACGACACAUGCUGCGGUUACUGUCUCUGAUGGCGUGGAGUGUAAUCCACCGAGACUCUGUGACACAAACAGUGACAAAACCUGGUCAGAUCAUUUCAAGUCAUCGGUCUCAAGUCAAAGUCGAGUCCCGAGUCUUGAGGCACCAAGUCCAAGUCAAGUAUCAAGUUAUUUUAUUUUCUAUCAAGUUGAGUCUAAAGUCAGCAAAUUUGUGACUCGAGUCCACAACUCUGGUGAUGAUCAUGGGACAGGGCCAGCUCUCUCUCUCUCUCUCUCUCUCUCUCUCUCUCUCUCUCUCUCUCUCUCUCUCUCUCUCUCUCUCGCUCUCUCUCUCUCUCUCUCUCUAGUUCAAGUACAAAAGGGAAAAUAAAUAAACAUUAAUAUGGGUUGUAUUUACAAUGGUGUUCGUUCUCCAGUGGUUGCCCUUUUCUUGUGACAACAGGUCACAAAUCUUGCUGUUGUGAUGGCACACUGUGCCUCUAAUAUGGUCAUACAUUUGGCAAGAGGUUAGGAAGUGCAGCUUAGUUUCCACCUCAUUUUGUGGGCA
rnacentral:lncRNA from 13 species